GGUAGCUCAGUGGUAGAGCGUUUGUAUCGGAAUCGCAAAAGGUCAUGGGUUCGAAUCUCAUUCCU